rnacentral:rRNA from 1 species
UUGACCUCGGAUCAGGUAGGAAUACCCGCUGAACUUAAGCAUAUAAGGGGAG